GGGGUCGUGGCCAAGUCCGGCAUGGCGACUGACUCCAGAGGCACCGCGCCCGGUGACGAAACUCCAGACUGAUAUACUGAGCGGACGGCUGAUCACCGCCCGCGCUGAUGACCCUCUGGAGUUCCGAGGCGCGACCGGAGAUAUCAGUCGAUCGGGAGUUCAAAUCUCUCCGACCCCA
rfam:Halorientalis sp. IM1011, complete genome.